rnacentral:rRNA from 1 species
CAGUUUUGGCGGAGCCAUCCUUGGGAUACCACCCUUGUAGUACUGGGACUCUAACCAUAGGCCAUGAAUCUGGUCUUGGGACACUGUCAGGUGGGCAGGUUGACUGGGGCGGUCGCCUCCCAAAAGGUAACGGAGGCGCUCAAAGGUUCUCUCAGUACGGUCGGAAAUCGUACGUAGAGUGUAAAGGCAAAAGAGAGCUUGAUUGCAAGACAUACAGGUCGAGCAA